rnacentral:rRNA from 1 species
UACGUAGGUGGCAAGCGUUAUCCGGAAUUAUUGGGCGUAAAGCGCGCGCAGGCGGUUUCUUAAGUCUGAUGUGAAAGCCCACGGCUCAACCGUGGAGGGUCAUUGGAAACUGGGGAACUUGAGUGCAGAAGAGAAAAGCGGAAUUCCACGUGUAGCGGUGAAAUACGUAGAGAUGUGGAGGAACACCAGUGGCGAAGGCGGCUUUUUGGUCUGUAACUGACGCUGAGGCGCGAAAGCGUGGGGAGCAAACAGG